rnacentral:misc_RNA from 1 species
AAAGUAUGAUGGCUAAAAGCGUAUUUUGUGGUGUUUGUGAGCAUUCCGCAGAUGUUUUCCACUUUGGUGCAAUUUGUUAGCGUGUGCUGCAUUUUUCCGGCGACUAGUUUCUCGAAGCAAAACGCCAACGGCAAUAUGUUCUGGAAAUUGCGAUUUAAGAAAUAAAAUAAUCAGAAAGCUUUGCUCAAGUUGCCGGUACCAAAAAUGUCUUCAAAUUGGGAUGAAGGAGUCAUUAGUGAAAUCUAAGAAACAGAAAACUUCGAGCUCCGAGAAAACUAUUCUGGAAGAGUUGAACGAAGCGUACCAAAAUCUACUCGACUUGAGGAAAGAAACAUUUCGAAACCAGGAAGCUAAACUGACAUAUUUCGAGGAAAUGGAUGAUGUGUGUUCAGUGGAUCUUAGUUUAGUAGUGGAGACAUUGGUGAGAACAUUUUAUAAAAUGGCGCCAAUGGAAGAUGAUCAGCAGAGGCUUCUUGUCAAAAAUUUUCUGGUGGAGUUUAUGCUGAUGGAUAUGUCAUUCAGAUCAAUAGAUUCCAAUGUGAUCAUUCUUGCUAACGGGAACUAUGUGGAUGUUAAAAAUUUAGACGAGCACUUUCAAAGCACCAAAAUAGUUUCCGACGAGUCAAAAGCUGCUGAAGCUAAACUCUAUCUGAAAUCAUAUUGGGAAAUGGCUGAAAGUCAGCUCGUGGGAAGGUUUCAAGAACUUCGAGUUGAUCGUAAUGAGCAUUUAUUGUUGUGUGCCCUUCUUUAUUGGGAUUUCGGUCUGGAAAACCAAUCAGAAGAAAGUUCGGAAAUUUGUUUGAAGUUGCGAUCCAGAAUAUUCAAGGAGUUAUCGAAUUACGAAAGAAAGCAAUCGUCAACAGAGAAACAGUUUUCAAGGACCGGAGACCUUAUUCUAAUACUUCAAAUAAUUGAUAAACAAAUGGUUUCAAUGUACGAGUAUAAAACAGUAUCCAUAAUUUAUGAUUUAUGUGCAAAAAAUUGUCCACUUUUUCGAAUUUAAUAGCUUUUAUAAAUUUUCUAUUG